rnacentral:misc_RNA from 1 species
UCUCCGUUGGUGAACCAGCGGAGGGAUCAUUACCGAGUUUACAACUCCCAAACCCCUAUGUGAACGUUACCAAACUGUUGCCUCAGCGGGAAAUUCAUGCCCCGGGCGCGUCGCAGCCCCGGACCAAGGCGCCCGCCGGAGGACCAACCAAAACUCUUUUGUAUGUCCCUCGCGGACUUUUAUAAUUCUGAACCAUCUCGGCGCCCCUAGCGGGCGUUUCGAAAAUGAAUCAAAACUUUCAACAACGGAUCUCUUGGUUCUG